rnacentral:lncRNA from 1 species
AUGGAAACUUUUUCAGAGAGGUGGCUACAACUUCAGAGUCUAGAUAAAGGGAAUGGAGAUUGGACUCAUCCCAGAGCUUUCAGAAUAAACCUGUUAUCAAAUAGGCAUCUUUCUGCUGGAUGGAGAGGGUCAAUCAUUAACUUUGCAAUGGCUUUGAACUCGCAGUUCCCAUUCGCAUCAGAAGGCCACCAGCUCUGUUGGAGUGGGCAGUUAACAAGGCAGAUUCCAAUUAUACUUGACAUCCAGCUGAGACAUCCAUCUUUUACCCACUUUCCUGAUCAAGGAUCGAACUCAGAUCCUUGUGCUUGCAAGGCAGGUGGCUGAUGGCUAAAAUUUUGAAUGUGCGGAGAGCAGCGCAGAGAGAUGGCUGUCGGGAGGCCCGGAUGUCCUGACGGAGACCCGGAUGCAAGGUAAGAAGGCAGGAUUGCUAAGUGUUCAUGUGGGAAGCUGGAGUGCAGUGAUCUUACU